CUCUCAGAGGCUAAUUUAUCCUUACUCCCGUCCCCUCUGCACCAAGGGUGCUGGAAAAGGCAGAGAGUGACUGCAACCAAAUGCUAUCUUGUCAGACAUAUAGAAUGAUUAACUGCCUGAGUGGGUAAAGAGAUGCCUGGAAGGUCACUGGCACAUCCAUAGGUCCUGUGGCAGAUGGUAUUCUAACGAGGGCAGCAGCAUCCCACAUGCUCUUCUUACAAGAAAUACCAGCCCUGGAUUUCCUGCUUGUCCUCAUGCCGUAUAUGCUGCCAAGCUACUCCAAAGUGAAAAUGCCAAUUUCCUUUACAAAUUACUUUGUGCUCCUGCUAUUAAUCUAAUAGAGAUAUGGAAGUGGGCGAAAGAAAAGAAGCUGCUCUUCUGGCAAUAAGGAACAAUCCUGAGAUCAAAUUACACAUUUGUGUAAUCGGAGGCCUACUCCAAAAUUACACAUUUCUUCAUAUGGUUUGGCUAAACAGUUGAAGUUGAGAGUAGACCCUGACUCUAUCUCUUAGGAAUUAGAAUCAUUUAUAAUCCCUGUUUCUUUUGACUAGUUCUGCCAGUUGGUGAUAAGAUGUAAGACAAAAUGAGAUAAAAACAAAACAGAAUUUUUAAAAAACUAUUGUGAGUUUAAGAUAUAGUAAAAUAAUGUGGGUAGUCUUCUAGAAUCUAGUUAAAUAAAAAAAAAACAAAUAAAAUUCUUAGAAAUAUAAGAUAUCAACAUUUUUUUAAACAAAAGAACAAUGGAAGAUCCAGGAAGAUAAGAGAGGACAGGAGUAAGUUUGAUGCCUUCACACAGGGAGGUGAAAUCAUUCAUCCCCUAGUCUGAGUUGUUUUCCAGUGGUGAUGAUGGAUUUGAACAAUCCGUCCAAACCUUUUCACCCAGUUCCUCUCUUUACCAAUUGCAGGCCUCUGCGAUGGGGCAAUGUGGAUGAGAUGUGAGAAGAUAAAUGACUCCCCAGAGGUUUCUGUGAACUUUAUUCCUAGUAUCUUGGUUCUAAUGCUGAUGAUAGAAGAGAAAUGUCUUAAAUUCUGGGUAAACAGUCACUUAACUACUCAGAACAUUUGGAAAUUAGAAAAAAAAAAAAGGAAUAUUUUUCUCUGUUCAUUUUGAUUUCAUAAGUAACUGAGUUUCCUUUUCUCUGUCUAAGAGAAAAGAUCCAGAAGAUGCUGACUAGAUUGUAAGCACCAGAAGAUCACUAUGAUACACUCAUCUUUAUAUUCUACUGUGUUUGGCACUUGUCAGGGUCUCAAUAAAUAUUUGUUAAAUUGAAUUAAUUGAAUUGAAUUAAUUGAGUAAAAGAGGAGGUAUAAUCUUUUAGAAACAAAAACAAUUUAAAAACCUUGAUAAGAAGUUUAAGUACAUCAUUCAAUCUGUGUUCAUAGAUCAACUGAAAAGGGGGAAUUAGAGAGGGGAAGUCAAAAGAUAAUCUACUGACUGAUAUAUAAUUUGGGGGUAUCCACUUUUCCUGUCACUUGUGGGAAAUAUCACCAGCGUCUAAAUCAAUCAGUGCACGUAAGGAUAAUGGGGAUGGGAGCACAGCAACUUCCCUUAGCUCCUGUUUACAAGUCCAACUGACAUCAGUUGCUGUAACCUUUGUGGUCUCUCUCCCUUAUUUGACUCACUUUGUCCCAGAGAAGAAGCAUGUCUCAUUAGUGCCUUUAAGAAAUAAACUGGCGCUGCGUAGUUGGGAGCGAGCUGACCUCAGGAAGUACACAUUUUGGUCUGCUUCUUCUGCCCCUAAAUUGUGCGGAGGCAAGUCCUCUAGUGGAAGCUGUGCUGUGGCUGGUGGAUAAGUCUUUUAGGAAGCCCGCUGUUGUCAUGCGCCUAAGCUAUGCAUUUCUUUAUGAUCUUUAUCAGUAAUGAGGAUGACAUUUUAAUCUCCUUCUGCCAGACUUCCAUGUCUAUCUUUUCAUUAUUUUCAAACUUGAUUGGGAAAAGAAUGUUACUUUUUGGUCCCUUAUAAGGUACUUAUACUGGCUCCAGCAACUCUACAAAUCUGUAGUUUGCAUCUGGUUAUCUGAGGUGUAUUCAUUUAUUCAUUCAGCCAUUCAUUUGGAAAUAGUUAUGGAGUCCCUAAAAUAUACCGAGUACAUAUAUGGUAAGCCCUGGGACCCUACCCAUAAGGAACUCACAUUAUAGAGUAUUUAUAAAGCAAUCUGACAAAUGGGUAAGCACGUAGCUUCCCAAGAAGUAACAGUCUAAGCUGAGUUACUCAUUUUUUUGGUGUUUUCUUAACUGAGUCAAAACCCAGUAGGAUUUGGUCAGGCGGUAGCUGAUUUACCUGAUCAAAUCUGGUCUACCUGGUCAGAGCUAAGGGUGAAGGGGCAGUCAGGGGCUCAGUUCUGAAAGACCCUCCCUAAAAACCUAGACUCUGCCCAGUGGGUAACAGGCAACUGUGAAAGAGAUUAGGGGAGUGAUAUGGUCAGGUUUCUGUCCAUAAGGUCACUUUGAUAGCUGGGAACAUCUGUCUGAGGAGGACAAGCCUGGAGAGACCAAUUUGCAGAUUGUUCUGGGCGAGAGACUCUAAGAAUGUGAUUUAGCAGCACUUUUGCUUACUUUUGUUUUACCUUUCCUUUUUUUUUUUUUUUGGCAAUCUUGACAUUUUGUAGGAUUAGCAGUAAGAGCUCUGAUGAUGAUGAUGAUGAAGAAAAAGAAGAUGAUGAUUGCUAAUGUUAAGUUCUUGCUAUGAACUGCCACUGGGCUAAAAUGUUUCUGUGUAUUAGCUCACUUUGUAGUCACUAAAAAUGUAUAAGGUAGAUAGUAUUCUUUUGCAUUUUAUGUAUGAGAAAACUAAGGCUUCAGGGGUAAAAUAACUUGCCCCAGGGUGUACAGCCAGCCAGCAGCAGACCUGGGACUAUCUGACAGUUUCCAGCCUGUCUGACUUCAGCUUCCAUUCUGAUGACCCUGUGCUCUAUGAAAAGUUUCAUAGCUCUUUACCAAGCACUUUCUUAUACAGCGUCUCACUAGAGCUCUAACAGGAUCCUUAGGUCAACCUUCAAUUCACUCCAAACAGAGUAGCUCAUUCUCAUUUAACAGAAUCAUGCUCAAGAAAAUUGUUUGCGAUAUACUUUGAAAUCACAAAAUAUAUUGCUCUUUAUUUGUACAUUGAUGACCGAUUUAGUGCCUUUUUGACCAAAUUUUAGCAGUCAAAUGUCUUCACCUUACCAUCUAACAGAUAUAUACAGAAUGAAUUUUAAUGUUAACUUUAAGUAAAUAAGAAAAUAUUCUGUAAAAUAUUGUAGGUGAAGUGAUUUCUGGUUUAUCUCUUGCUAUGGAUUAUUCAUUCAACAUUCAAAAAGUACUAAGUACUUAGCACGUGUUACGCACUACUCCUUUUAAGAGUAUGGAGGAAUAUAAUCAGUAACUCAUUCAGAUUUGCUCGCGCAGAGCACAGCUCAGUCCAUUGUACAGAGGUCCUCAAUAUCUGCUUUCAGAAUAAAUAAAUCCAGUGAAAGAAAGCAAAGGAAGUACACUGUCUGGGCCCAAGCAUCAAAUUAAUUAAAUUAAUUAAAUUAAAUCAUUGUACUACCUUACAUAUACUAGUUUUAUUCCUUGGAAAUCUUCGGAUUAGUUUUUUUUCCCCAUCCAUGUUGAUAAGGUAAAGGUGAUGGUGUUGCUUUACAUUCACUUCGCAUUAGCUUAGAUAAAUAAGUUAGUUAUCUAUUUAUGCAGGAUUGUGAGUGCUUCAUCAUUUAUGUUAGCAUUACUUAUCCCAAACCUCCCAGUUUUAAACAGAAACCUCAAAGGGCCAUAAUGAACAACUUGUCAUUCUUGGUGAAUGGACUUGUAAUAGUUACAAGGGUGCUUCCAAACCACCCAGCAAGUUCUGGCUGGAAUCAGGCCUACAAUUAGAAACUGCAGAUAUGUAGCCUGCCUUACUCCCAGUGAUAGGCUGUCUCUCCCAGAGGGUGAGGGUUCUGGUUCCUCUAAUCUUCACUCCCUGCCCCCACUCCCACCUCCUCACCACAUGACGUGACCCCACCUCCCUGCUCAGAACUGCCAAAAGACUGUGGAUGGCAGAGUUCCUGCAUUCCUCCCCUGGCACUGGAGCAAAAUUACAGCAUUACUGUUGGGCUUUAAGGAGUUCCUCUUUUUUCUACUUUUAUCACGCUUUCUUGUGUUCUGACUCUAACAAUUUGAGAGAAAAUGUAGCGUCCAAUUCUUGUUUUAGCUGCCAAGAUUCCACAAUGCUUAGGCAAAGGAAGGAAAAAUGGCGCAGGCAUUUAAAUUUACCCAAAUGCCUCAGAAGACUACACUUUCUGGACAUGAAUAAAGAGGAUGUGAGUAAACUUAUUCCUAAUGUGCCAGGUUUAUCCCUUUGAAUAAUUGGAUAAUUCCAGCAAAUACCAUGUUGAAAGUUUUACUUGCCUGGCUUAGUUUUGAGGCUUCAUUUAAAAGACUAUUUAAUAAGACAAUAAAGUAUUAAGUUUUAAUGUGGUAUUAAUAUAGUAAUACUAAACGUACUAAGGAGAGAUGGCAAAGAUAACCCAGAUUUCAUUCCAGGAAACUCUUUCCUAAAUUAAACUUCUUAAAACUACCAAAGAGAAGCUAAUUGCUUACAUUUCAACCUUCCUUUCCUUUUCCAGCUCUCUUAUAGACUAAUGAUUUAAAUGAGUUAAAAAUUGAGAACAUUCAAGUGAAAAAAAUCUUCAUUUCAGGGGUUAUUUACAAAGAAAUGUGGUUUGUGUAUCCCUCCCAUGGAAAAUGCUUAUUUAUCUAACUUUACUACAAGCAUUUCCCACUAUACCUGGCUUCAUUAAGAGUUCUAGGACCUCCCUGGCGGAAGGUCCAGUGGUUAAGACUCCACAUUUCCACUGCAGAGGGCACAGGUUAGAUCCCUGGUUGGGGAAUUAAGAUCCUGCAUGCUAUGCGGUGCAGUCCCCCUUCCCCCCCAAAAAAAAGAAAAAGAAAAGAAAAACGUUCUAAAAGAUGAGACUCUCUUGAAACUAACAUCUUAAUGUCUCCCUACAGAUCUCUCCUUUGGAUGGUGUAAGAAUCUUCGUAUACUAUUAAAGUAGAAAUGUAUUGACAGAGUUAAGACUCUGGGUCCAACAUAUCAGAGAGAAUCUCGGCCUUUUGUAUGUUUGUGGAAUUGUUCUACAGUGAUCUGUGUUUGUGACAAUUACCUAGAUUAUGGAAAUCUGUGGGCUUAAGCAAGUCUUUUCCUUUUUGGUAUUUCUAUUCUCGCACCUAUACAUUAUUGAUACUGUUAAAGCUAAAAAGCCUUCUUCUCGGGGGUACACCAUGGAAUAGACAUUCUUUGAACUCAUACAUUGAAUGUUAAGUUCUUAGUGUGAGCAGAUGAGUCUAUCAAGAUAUGCUACAGAAAGGUGAAGUAACUAGAAAUAGAAAUAUAAGGAACAAAUUUUCCAUGGUUCCAAGAACAUCCAGGCAGAAUAAAUUUAUGCAUCAAGACUAAAAAAGUUACACUGAUCUGUGGCUUUUCCCCCCAUAUUGUACGUACUCUAAAAUGUCCACUAAAGUUUGAAUCUUUUAGGAUACUCUCAACUUCAAGUCUGUCUAAGUAGUUUAAACCAUAUAGAAAGUCAUUGACUCGGAUAAGUGGGCAUCAGUUAAUGGACUCAGAUGCGUUUCAUCUCAGCUCUGUUGAACACAGGCUUCACCCUAAGGACAGUUGUCCUCAUAACUGCAAGACAGCUGCCAGCUGCAAUCAGGGAUACAUGCUUUUUUCUUCCACUUCCAGUGUAAAGGAGACUUGUUUCCUGAAGCAUCCCCUAAGGACAAGGAAGGUUUUUCCCUGGAAAUCUCUAGCAGAAGCUCGUUGAUCAGUCUAAUUUGGAUCACAUGCUCAUUUCAGAACCAAUCACAAGAAAAAGUUAUGUAAUAACCCUUUGACCUAUCAGCCCAUUGAGGACAUGGACUGUGUCGGGAAGGAGUGGAUAUCUAAACAUUAUUAUAGUCUGUUGGAAAGGAAGAAAAGACAAUGAGUGCUGUAGGCCACCGGUAAUGUCCACUCCAGAGUUCCUGGGAGGAACAUGGCCAGACAGUAAGGACUAAAACCGUUAUGACCAUUAGCCCACAGUAAGACUGCAUGUUGAAGCUACCAAAUGAGUCAGAUAAAAGAUCUAUUUAUAAGGAGAAGUAUUGACCCUGAUUCCCCAAGACCCCAUGGUACAGCUAAGGAUUUCUUUUUUCUUCAUUUCUCAAGGAGUGGAGAGAGCAUGUUACAAGUUGUCUGCAAAAAGACGCACAAUUCCACAAUUCAAUCCAUGAUACAUACCUUUUCUGCAAGCAUUGUGAUAUGGCACUGCUGUAUUUGAAAUUUCUGAGUUGAGCUGAUUCAGAUGAACUAAUAUCUGGAAGUGUCUAAAAACAUAAGAACCUAUCAGGCAUACCAGCCUGGGGUCAAAUAAAUGGGGUGCAAACUACAGAACACUUAUUCCCACCUCACCCAUGGGAACUGUUGGAAUUGUAGCUCUUUAAAUCAAGAAUUCUGGCCCAGAAGAGAUGAACAGGAUCUUUCUCAACUCCCAUCUUCCUCCUGGUCCCUGAGGCCACCUGGUCACAGGCUACUUUGGAAGUUACACCAUUUGAGCACCCCAGCAUCACCUGGGCUAGACAGCAAGUCCCUCAAGACACAGGGACUGUGUCUGUCAUUUCCUAUUUGUAGUGCUUUUCCUGGUAUGUAGUAUGUGAUCAAUUAAUGAAGGAAAGAAUAAAUGAAGAAGAGUUUGGGUGACUUUUUGUAUUGGUUCCUGUCACUGAUUUGGACCAAGGAAGAGAGAUAAGAGUAAGAAAAGAGUUCAGGUCAUCAACUUGACCCCUCAGGCUUCCUCUUCUGCAACUUGCCAAUCUUUCCUAGAGCUCAUAGGAAAAGGUUCUGUACCUUGACUUUGGUCUUUCUCAUUGGAUUUUCACUGCAGUUGAAUACAUUCCCAUUCUUUAAGAUGAACUGAGAAAAUUCCAGAAACUUGAGGUGGGCUGGAAACUGCUCAAAGGGAUUUUCAGCCCUAAGAAUCGAUGCUACUUUAUAUGUCUGCUGAAAGGUCCUGAGUUUCCUGACACUCCUGGAAUUGAGAGAAGUCUGAGAGGCACUGUUUCUACAUCUGCCUUUCACUUUUCCACAAAGAAAGCAGCUGCUUGAAUCCUGGCAGAACAACUUGUUUUCACUGUACCUCAGGCAGGUCAUUCAAAUUUUCUGAAUCGUAAUCUUACCUUUAAACUGGGAGAAAUGACAUUUACUGCCUUGUAUUUAGAACUAGAAAUAAUGUAUACGUAAUGUGUCUGGCAGUAUUUGGCAUAUACAGUUGGGAUUGAAUCCAUGCUAUUAUUAUUAUGUUUAAUAUUCCUACUUUGCAUCUUAUAAAUCUCUUUCUCUUUUCUUCUUUGGUUAGUAUGUAUCGAUUGAACGGAUGGCAUAGUCCCUGUGACUACUAAUUUGAGUGUCUAUAAAGCAUGGUAAAUUUUAUCUGGAUUCUUAAAAUCCUUAGUGAAUCCAGAUUAUUUAUAUAGAUAGAAAAAAAGUUU